rnacentral:lncRNA from 1 species
CGCCAGAGAGGGACCAAAUCUUCAUCUGCACAGUUCCUCAUUGUUCUUAGAUUUCCACUGCCCCCAGUCUUUUUACACCUUGUUCAUCCCAAUGUAAAGUACUGAACUCUGCAUUUCACUUGUUACAUCUGUUUCCCCAUGUACUGAAUAAAAACUGCUGCAAGCUAGGGGUCUUUUGUCUUUGCUGCCCAGAGCAGCGCUGAUCAGACCCAAAGCUCAGCUUCUUAGUCUUAUUUUUCUACCUUUCCUGUAAUUCGCUGUGUGCUGCUGUGGCUCACAGGAGACCAGGACUUACUGCAGAGGUUCUGGUAACAUCCCCUUCCCCUGUUCCCUACAACAAGCAGUGCUCAUACUUUUAUAACGAUCUGCUUCCUUUGAGAGGCAAAUCCCUGCAUCCCUCAAUAUCUCUAGGUUUAGGUGGGAUCUACUUUUUAAGCUAUCCUUCCAAUUAUUUUAAUUAUUCUAUGUUGACAUAUGCCUUUCCUAUAUAAUUUUUGUUGUUGGAGUUUCUGAAUACUUUUCCUCUCCCUGUCCUUUGCUUGCUUAUUUAUUUAUUUUUUGGUUCAUUUUUUGUUUUUGGGUUUGUUUUUGAGACAGAGUCUCACUAUGCAGUUCAGGCUGGAUUUGAACUCACUAUGUAGCCCUGGCCGGCCUCAAACUCAGGGCAAUCCUCUUGCCUCAGCCUCCCGAGUACUGAGAUUACAGGCAUGCACUACCAUGCCCAGCCCUGCCCUAUGUUAUAAGAAGAAAUUAUGUUAACUAUGCCUCCUCAGUAUAUUAAUUAAAUCUCCUAUUUGAGAAUCAAUGCAGCAGGAGCUAUUCUAGAUCGAUACUUAGCCUUCUCCAAACUUCUCUGCAGAUGUUCUGCUUUCUUGCAAGGCUGUAGCCCUCCUAAGCACCCCCACAGUACUCAUGGAUUUCUGUGUGUACCAACCUGUAACUGUUUACCUGUCUAUACCCUAUUAAUCCAGCACUUGAGUUUAAAUUUUAUUCAAGGACUGAAUCUUGAUACUUGUAUUUCCUUAGCCUCUAUGUUCAUAUUAAAUAUUUGUCAAACCAGUGAACUGAUAAGUGUACAGUAUUUCUUAUGUUUUAUCCUUCCAGCUGAGGAGACAGCUAAGUAAUUGCUGAUUAAUAUGGUAAUACAAUUGAGACAUA